rnacentral:rRNA from 1 species
UACGAAGGGGGCUAGCGUUGCUCGGAAUCACUGGGCGUAAAGGGUGCGUAGGUGGCGGGGUAAGUCAGGUGUGAAAGUCUCGGGCUCAACCCCGAAACUGCAUUUGAUACUGCCGUUGCUCGAGUACUGGAGAGGAGAUUGGAAUUUACGGUGUAGCAGUUGAAAUGCGUAGAUAUUCGGAAGAACACCAGUGGCGAAGGCGGCUCACUGGGACGUCACUGACGCUGAGACGCGAAGCGUGGGGAGCAAACAGG